CAACGCCAGUAUCGCCUGUCGAUUUUUUUAAAUCUGGUGCUUAGGAGAAUAGGGUAGGGGAAGAGGACCGCUGCCCACCGCCCGUGAAGGAACCGCCGCUACGCCGAUUGCGGCCUCCGGCCUGCCUCUCCGUUUAGGUCCGAGUGGUAGUGGCCUACGGCGACGAUGGGAUCGGGGGAGAAGGGGACGGCCAGAAACUCCCUCGUCGGUCGUGCUGCCGGUGGAGGAGCGAGGACGAGUUGCGGGAAGGUACCAGCUGCUGUUCGGCCACGCCCUAUUGUGCCGCUCGGCCGCCCGUCAUGGAGUGACCCUGCCGCCGCGAGUUCGAGUUACGGGUGCAGGGGAGAGACCAGGGACUAACUGCGGGAUGAGCAGCUACAGGGAUAGGUCUUCACCAUUAAGUCAGUUGAUAGACGUGAACAUUUAAACAUUAAUUCUUCUGGUUCUUCACCUGUACCUAGACUUACCUCUUCUCCUAUUCCUACCGCUUACUGAACACGUAGAAGGUACUAGUCUUGAUCUAGACAAAUAAGAACACGCUACCAGUACCAGACUGAACAUACUAACCGAUCAUCAAAAACAAACGUACCAAUGUGCCAACUUAUAACAUGUCUACCUGCUCAACACAUUGGGACUAUCAAAAACAAACGUACCAACUUAUAACAGCCCUACCUUAUCA
rnacentral:rRNA from 1 species